rnacentral:rRNA from 1 species
UACGUAGGGUGCGAGCGUUGUCCGGAAUUACUGGGCGUAAAGAGCUUGUAGGUGGUUUGUCGCGUUGUUCGUGAAAUCUCACGGCUCAACUGUGAGCGUGCGGGCGAUACGGGCAGACUAGAGUACUGCAGGGGAGACUGGAAUUCCUGGUGUAGCGGUGGAAUGCGCAGAUAUCAGGAGGAACACCGGUGGCGAAGGCAGGUCUCUGGGCCACUACUGACGCUGAGAAGCGAAAGCAUGGGGAGCGAACAGG